AUUUGUAUUUGUAUUUAAGUUUGAACUGUAAAUUGUUUUCAAUUAUUUAGUAAAAAGAAUGAAAUUUGUCAGUUUGUUUUUUUUUGAUUGUUUCAAUUUCUAAAUUAUUCAUUGUUGUCUACGUACUAGAUGUCAUAAAAAGAUUUUUGUUCUACUUAUUGUGUUUAGUAGUGAUAUUUUAUACUCCAACCGUUAUAAAUAUUUAACUGACUCCAUUUUUUCAGAUGGCAGUAUAGCAGAUCACUCAAUGUAUGCACAGACAUGACUUCACAUUUCUUCUACUUGGGAAAGUAUCAACAUCCUGUGUUGAAAAUGGACUAGAAAAUACUGAUAAUAAUAAUGGAUUUAUGCAAUAUGCGUGUAAUGUUGGCAGUACAACAGAUCCAUCAUGGCAGGCUGAGACAGGAAUCCGUAUUAAAACCACUUUAGGAAAGUAUCAACAUCCUGUGUUGAAAAUGAACUAGAAAAUACUGAUAAUAAUAUCGGAUUUAUGCAAUAUGGCAGUUCAGCAGAUCACUCAUGGCUGAGACAUGAAUUAACAUCUAUACCACUUGGGAAUUGUGCAUCAUCCUGCAUUUAAAAUGUACUAGAAGAUUCCAAUAAAAAUAGUGAUUUUAUACAAUGUACAUGUAAUGGGUAUUGAAUGUAAUUAUAACAUUUAUAUUCAAUAAAAUAUAAUCAUUAUAUACGCAAUACAA